GCCCAAGGUCGACGGUCAGGUCGAGGGCAGUGCUGGGACUCGACCCCUGUCUCUGCCCACUCCAGGGCACCUGACUGACUUCUAAUGAGUGAGACUCACAGAUCACUGUCUGUUUAGUAGAUAAGGGGAGAACAGGGUAGAGAGAGGCCGAGUUGUGACCCCCGGUCAUACAGCCCUGUGAGCAAAGUAAGGGUCAGCCUGUCUGCCAGGUCCCUGGUGGGUUCUCUGGGCCCCUUCUCCACAGCCUCAGUGAGACCCACCACCCAGAUCGGGGGCCUCUGGUCCUCCUGGGGGGCCAAGGGAUCAGCAAAGAGGGCCUCUUGGUGGCCUGAUGGCCCCCACAAUCAGGAAGUCACUAAAGCAAAGAGUCCCCACUUGUGGGAUGCUCACAGGGACCCUGUUAUCCCGUCUUCCAGGGGCUCACUCACACACCUGGGGUACAGGGGCUUGCCAAAGGAGGGGUACGACCAGCAUCCUUCCCGCCCAGACCUCAUUGACCAGCGCGGGACAAUGAGCUCUUGCCUGGGCUGCGGCAGCCCUGGGGCUGGAGCUGGAAGCUGGGUACUGCUCAGGAUCAGGGUCAGAGCCCCUUUGCAGAACAUCUGGGGGCUCUUCCCCAGCCCUGGCCCCCGCAGAGCCUGCCCAACUGCGCCUCUGAGCCGCACCCAAACUCUUCCGGGCUUUGCCAGGGAGACUGGAAAUUUCUGCCCAGCAGCUUCUCUGGGAGGAUUUCGACACUCAGCUCAGUGGGGGACUGGGAGGAGCCAGGCUGCUCCCGGCUCAGCGUUCUCACGGCUCUGCUUGGGGGGAAUGGGAGGGGGACUUCGCUAGGCCUUGGUGAGUCCUUCAAAAAUAAUUGUAAUAACAGUCAACCGGUUCCAACAACAGUGACCCUGUACUGAGUGCUUACUGAGUGCCAGACUCUGUGCUAAGUCAAGACUGGCACCGUAUCAGUGCCAUAGCCCAGGCGAGGCUGGCACUGUUACUAACCCAUCUCACAGACGAGCAGGAGAAGCAGAGUGGUGAAGGCGGCCAUUGAGGCUACAGAGGCAGAAGCCGAGGCCGGGCCUGUGAUAUUCCGGAGCCCAGGAGGUGCAGGUCACUAGCUGGUUGGGAGCAGGCAGGGCUGGAAGACACCCAGGGGUGCCUGGGGUAGGAGAAACACUGGGAGCCACUAAAGGCAACUCUGAUACUCAAACAACAACUAUGGCUCGACCAGAAACUGCAGCUCAGGUGAAGGCAUGCUUGGACCCUGCGUCUCUGUUAGCAGCCUCCUGGCGGUACACUGGGACCCCUGGAGACCUCAAGGGGUCUGGAAACCUCGCCCCAACCAGUCCUGAUGAGGACACUGAGUCUCAGAGAACUGACAUGUGACCCAGACUCAGAGCCGUGCUGCCAACCAUCUGUGGGGCUACUUCUACCCUCAGUGGCAGGGACCCUGGCCACUUCCCACGCCAGGGUUACAGAGCAGCAGAAACUGGCAUGGGAACAGGGAGAGGGGGACCAUCUUCUCCAACUCCCUCAUUUUACACCAAGGGAAACAGGUGCCAGCGAGGGGAAGAGACGUCUCAGUGUCAUCAUCAAGUCCAAAGGCUGCUGGUUUCCUGGGUGGGCCCCCCACAUGGGCUUCUCCUGUGCACUCCCACAUCCUACUCCUCUUUCACAAUGAUAUUUUAAAAGUUGUUAAUGUUCGCAUAUUUGUAAGAAAACAUUGUUAAAGAAAUGAGAAGACCUGC